AUUUGAGCACUGCCCUUACCUAUGUUAUUUCAGCUCUUCAUUUUCCUUGAAGUGCAUGUCUGACACUUAAACAUGGGAAUGAGAAACAGUCCUUUAAAUAUGGAACGUUUAGGGGGCGGGAGAGAAGAAGAAGAAGAAGACCAUGUCAGGCCUGUCUAGGGAAAAUCCUUGUGAUUGAUCCUAUUCGUGAAGAGGAAAGCUACCAAGAUGGAAGCUUAGUGCUUACAUGUAUGCCUUCUAGUUAUGAGGUCACUCAACUAACAUUUACAGGAGAAUGAUCAACCCCAGAUAUUAACGAGGCCAUGCAGCUUUGCCUUGAUGCUUGCAAUAAGCUUGGUAAAGUGAUGUACAUACUUGAAAGAAGCCGCAUCUGCUUCACAAGAGUAGAAAUAAGGUGUAUACUUUUAAUAUUUUGUUUUCACCAUACAAUCUUUUUUUUGUCGUGUUGACCUUUUUCAUUUCACUUAUAAUUUUGUAGCUGAGUUUACUUCCCCUCAUUUGAGAUGUUAUUUA